AAGAACUUCCCACCUUGCUCUUUGGGAGACUCGAACUCACAACCUCUCGGUUGGAAGUGGGAAUUGCUUACCAUCAGAGCAACCCCUCUUGUCCACAACCUAAUAAGAUAAAAACAUAAAUUAUUUAUUGCUAAUAUAGUAAUAUUGGGGGGAGGGGGGAAUGCAGAUUAGUUGUUUUCAUCUCCUCUUCUUCUCAUUUUAAUUUUAAGUUUGUACUCUAGUGAAUAAUUAAAGAGGUAAACAAUGAAGUAUAAUUAACCGCCAAAGAAAAAUAAUUGAAUUAUAAGAAAAACAAGAACAAGGAUGACAAAGAAAAUAUCUAACAAUAACGAAAUCUUCUCAUUGUGUCCUCCCACCCACUUUUCUCUUUCUCUAUUAUAGACGAAACCCUAAUUAUCUUCAUCUACCCGAUUGUUUCUCUCUACACCCACACACACAGUUUGUCCCUUUUCUCUUAAAAUCUAGGAUUUCUUAACUUUAAUGUCCCUCCAGUUUCAUUUUAAGCCAGCAAAUGAAAAAUUUGGAAGAAAAUAAAAGGAGCUUCAGAUGAAGAAAACUUAGAACCAUUGAUCUUUCCCCUCUCACUUUGAACGCGGACCCAUUUUCCUCCCCCUUUCUCCCAAACCCUAAUUUCAAACCCCCCCAAAUCUCUAUACAUAUAUCGAUUCAAUUCAAUCUACACAUAGAUAUAUAAAGUCAAGUUGAAAGAGAAAGGAAGGAAGGAAGAAAGAGAGAGAGAGCAGCAAUAUCGUGUUUUCGUGAUAGUUGAAUCGGUGG
rnacentral:lncRNA from 1 species